CUCUAUGACCCUGAGACACUGAUUUUGAUCAAGGCUUCCCCAGUGCUCCAGGCUGGCAAGUGCACUGCACAGGUACUCCACUGGAAUUCAGGAGGAGCAAUGAGUAGAAAGGAAGAGGGGACCAACCCUCUGCAAGUGGGAUCUAUUCACAUAGAUCUCAGCCUAGAGUCCAGGGUGGGGAUGCACCAAUGGAAACACAUUCCCAUGGAUACUGAAGAGCAUGAAUCCUUCCAUGGCAACAACACCAGGCAAGUAGAAUUCAGUCCACCAUGUGGACCUUGUGGAGCUCCACCAAGUGAAGCUUGCAUUUCAUCAAGCACCUCCAUGAGGAAAUGAGUUGAUGCCCGUUGGUCACCUGCUGCCUUGGACAUAGCCGUGCCCUGAUAACUUGCUACAUUUCUGCUUGAUCCAGCUUGCCGAAUCAAAGGGUCCAGCCUUUACUUCUAAGGGAUGGUGUAGCCUUUGAAGAGCAGAUUUCUGAUGGCAAGAUGGAGGAAGAAGAUAAGACUGGAGGCAUAGAAAGCAGGUAGCAAGCCGUGACAAAGUCAAGGUGAGUGGUCAUGGGCACCAGAAUCAAAUCGGUGACAAAGAGGAAGAAGAGAAGCCUGAUAUGAGGGCUCUUUGGGGAAUGCACUUGACAGAAUCGGACUGGAUGAAGGACGGCCAAAUGGACUUCAGGCCAGGAGUUCUUCUAGCUCCAGAGGCCCUCUACCACAGUGUCCCCCCACUUCUGGGAGAAGAGACACUCUUUCAGAAAGAUUUAGUCUGCCACUGGAUGAAUUUCUGCUUGCCAACUAAAGAAAAAUGCUGGAAAGAAAUGACACGGCAGCCCUCUCCACACCCGCUCGCUUUGCAAUUGGGCAUUACUUGGAGACCCAAUGUGAACCCUAGAAUAGAAAUCUCACAGCUGGAGCUGAAUUCAAUGGAAAGGAACACACUCUUAGGACAAGAAGAAAUCGAUUUUAAUGGGUACGGGCAUGGUGUCUAUACCAAGACUGCCCGGAUCCAAAUUUAGCUCAACCCGUUGCUAUUUGCACAAACUUGGGAAAGUCUCCUUCUUGCCCCAGUGGCCACAUUUGGGAAAUGAAGGUAAGAAAGGCAUUUAUGUCACAGGGUGGCUUGGGAGAAUGGAUGACAAUGUUUGCAAAGUGCUCAACACAGGCCUGAGAGCCAAGAACAAAAUUAUGGAGCUGCUAUCAGUGUAAGAACCAUGGUCUUAGAGGUCUUGGCAAACUUCUGGCAAACAAGAAAUUGGGUGACAGCUGGUCCUCCUGAAGUGGUUGUCAGGAUUGGCCCAAUUUCUACCCCUCUAAUCAGAAAAGCAGACUGUCAGGAUGGGAGUCCCAAGAUCAGGGAAGAGUGCCAUCACCGAGUCUGGCAAACAAGCCAGAGGAGCUCUGAGUCUUUCUCCCAGGGACUACCUCUGGUCCCCCUCCCACAGGGAGGGUGAGUGAUUAUUGGGGAAGAUAGAAGCCAUUCCAGCAUCAUAGGGCAUAUUGAUGCUGAGGAACUGUUUCCAUGCUUACUCGCUCACACAUCCAUCCGUCCAUCCAUCCACCCAUCCAAUCAUCCAUCCAUCAAAGACCUUCGCUUGAUCUGUGUCUGGUAGGCUGGGUGCUAAAUUCUUCAUACAGAACAGGCAUUUAACAAAACUUAGAGCCUAGUGGCAGAGACAUGUUUAAAACAUAAUCAGUAUUUAAUUUAAAAAUUGUGUAAUUUUUAUGGUUUAUUCCUAAUGUAGGAUCCUAUGAUAAGAAAUAAUGGGGGACCAACUUCACAUUGGGCUCAGGGGGCACCCUAUUGAUGAGUUAGCAGAAAUGACCCCAGGCAACUGGAGAUUUGAACUUGUGCUCCCUCAUGUCUCAGGUCAACAACCUCAUCGCACCAGCUCUGGCCCUCCUUGACUUUGGUCUUGUAAAACUACCACCUCUUCUGGUUGUGCAACACCCUCCAAUACAUAGUUUCACCCUGGGAAUAAGCAUUAACUUAGUGCAAGGACUUCAUUCUCUAAGGACAGAACUAGGGCCCGUUGAGAGCAACAGGUGCUUGUCCAUAGUCAUACGGCAGGUUGGGUUGGGAACCAGCUCCCGAGGCUGGGUCAGUGCUCGCCCCUUCCCCCUCAUCACCGAGUGCUCACACCCUGACCCCUCUGACCUCUGACUUCUUCCCAAGGAAAGAAUGAUGAGAGCAAAUGUCUCUUGGAGAAAAAUGCCUCUUAGAGAAAUUCCUUUUGAAAUAGCCGCACUGUUGGAGAAAAACUCAGGUCCUUCUUGGAGAUCCCUGAUCUAUUCUGAGGUUCUUCUAGGACCUCACCAUUAAGAAAUAAUAAAAGAUAAAAUGAAAUAUAAGGAAAUAAAA
rnacentral:lncRNA from 1 species